rnacentral:lncRNA from 1 species
CUCUGUGCCAAUCUUGUAUCCUGCAAAUUUGCCUAAUUCUAUGAGCGCUAAGUGGUUUUUAUGAUUUAGGAUUUUCCAUAUACAAGAUGUCACUUAUUUAGUCUUCCUUUACAAUUUGACUAAUAUUUUUAAAAUAUUGAUAUUUAAUGUUUUGAUUCUUGCAAAUUGGUUGGCAACUCAUGGUGCUACAUUACCUUGUACUUUUUCUUGCUGGUUUUAAAAUGUGAGCUAUUAUGCAAUUCCUACAGUGUUUGCUUCUGCCAGUAGCUGGUUGUUUUACUAAUUUGGAAUCACUCUAAAAAUUAAAUCCUCUGCUUGAAUUUCCUGGGACCACCUAAGCCUGCAAAUCUUCACAAAGCCCAAACUGUUAUUACAAAUUCUCGCAAUAUUCUCCUGUCACAGAGCACCAAGUUUCAAGAUAGGUAGAGUCCUAGUUGUACUAGGAAUGGGUUUCUCGUAUUUGACACCACUUUUGGGUGCAUCCUGGGCUUUGCCAGAGUCAUGAAAAUUAAAGGUCAGCUGGGCAUGAUGGUUCACGCCUGUAACCCCAGCACUUUGGGAGGCCGUGGCGAAUGGUCUUGAGCCCAGGAGUUCAAGAACAGUCUGGGCAACAUGGCGAGUAGCCCCAACUACUCAGGAGGCUGAGGUGGGAGGAUUGCUUGAGUCCAGGAGGUCGAGGGGUGUAUCACUGCACUCCAGCCUGGGUGAUACAGCAAGACCCUGUCUUGUAGAAAAAAUGAAAAAAGUUCACUUGGGGUAGGUACUUCAAGUGUUUUCAAAAUGCAAUGCAAGCUGGUUCUGGGUAUGUUCUGUUUUCUUCUGGGUUCUUGGUUUCAGUUUGGUUUUGGUGAGAGUACUCCUUCCUUUCUUGAUAGAACAUUGACACAUCGAAAAAAAAAAAAAAAGUUUUCCCCCAGCAAGUGGUUGCUUUUUCAAAGGAUUUAUCAGGGUAAUCAUCCAGGCUGACAGAAUCUGAACUGCAUUAUUUUACUUACAAUAAAGAAGGUCUGAUUAACAAAUUUUUAAUAGUAUAUUAGUUUUCUUUGUUCUUUUGGAGUUAGAAAUGAAGCAAGCAAAAGAUUAAACAUUUUCCCUAAGAAGAUAUACAAAUGACGAGUAAGUACAUGUACCUUUGACAGACUACCAUUUGGCCCAGUCAUUUGUGUUAAAUAUUUGAUCACCUAAAAUGUUGCAAGUAGUCAUCUCGUCAUUGAUAAAUAAGAGAAAAAAAAUCUGUCCUCAUAGAACUGGGGUGGCGCUGAGGGUGAGACAAUUAUUACCUAUAAGAUAGAUAAUACUGAAUAUGCCAUGAUGUACUCUAUAGAGGUGAUGCUGUGUUGGUGUAUUUAUAGAAUAGUCAAGAAAAACCACUCUGAUAAGGUAUUUGAAUAGAGACCUAGUUAGGGAAAAGGAAGCUGUAUGGUAUGUGGGGGGGUGGCACUGUCAUGUUUUGAAGCCAUUUCCAAAUACCUUUAACCGUUGAUUUUUCCAUUACAAUGGGACAGCACGAGAAAUCUUAAUAGUCACCUUAGGGUACCUUUAAUAUCUGUCAAACACUGCAAACACCCUUAACAUAGCAUCAUUUCCACUUGGAAAAAUUGCCUAGUGUCAGGCCACAGAAUGGGAUCUGGGUUCAAAUUUGUUCAGCUAGCCAACACAAUACUUAGGUAGAUCUUUGCACCUGAUUACUUUUAAAUACUUGACGAUUGGUUGAAUUCCAUGCCAGUAUGGUUAUUCAAAUUAGCCAACUGUAGGACGUUAAUGUAUUUUAAUAUUCCAAGUGUAAAUGUGGAAAUCAAUGUACUGUAUUACAAUUCAAAGUACUAGGAAAUUGUCAGGUAUCAGAAACGUAAUACUUAAACACAUUCUCUAAAGCCAAAAACAGCUAUAAAAAAAUAGCUGUAGAGUCAAAGGAUUACUGGUUGUAGUCUGUUACAAGGGAAUGCUACGAACAGACUUCUGAAAACGGUUCUCAAUCUUCACUAUUCAUCAGAAUCACUUGGAGGGUGUUUUAAUAUAGGUGACUGGGCUCCAUGCCAGUUUGACUCAGGACUGGGAUGGGGCCUGACAACUUAUAUUACAAAGAAUUUCCUAAAUGAUGCUGAGAUUGUUAUCUCAAGAAACAUUUUGAGAACCACCUUAUUCAUAAACUGUAUAAAAUUAAAAAUCGAGCUCACACACAUUAAGCUC